AGAAUCAACGCUGGCGGCGCGCUUAACACAUGCAAGUCGCACGAGAAAGUGGAGCAAUCCAUGAGUAAAGUGGCGUACGGGUGAGUAACACGUGGAUCAUCUACCUCUUGGUGGGGAAUAACCCUGGGAAACCGGGGCUAAUACCGCAUAAGCCUGCGAAGGGAAAGCAGCAAUGCGCCGAGAGAGGAGUCCGCGGCCGAUUAGCUAGUUGGUAGGGUAAAGGCCUACCAAGGCAAUGAUCGGUAGCCGGCCUGAGAGGGCACACGGCCACACUGGCACUGAAACACGGGCCAGACUCCUACGGGAGGCAGCAGUGGGGAAUCUUGCACAAUGGAGGAAACUCUGAUGCAGCGACGCCGCGUGAGCGAUGAAGCCCUUCGGGGUGUAAAGCUCUUUCGACGGGAACGAUAAUGACGGUACCCGGAGAAGAAGCUGCGGCUAACUACGUGCCAGCAGCCGCGGUAAUACGUAGGCAGCAAGCGUUGUUCGGAAUUACUGGGCGUAAAGAGUGUGUAGGCGGUUCUCUAUGUUCGGUGUGAAAUCUCCCGGCUUAACUGGGAGGGUGCGCCGAAAACUGGAGGGCUCGAGUAUGGGAGAGGAAAGCGGAAUUCCUGGUGUAGCGGUGAAAUGCGUAGAUAUCAGGAGGAACACCUGCGGUGUAGACGGCUUUCUGGACCAUCACUGACGCUGAGACACGAAAGCGUGGGUAGCAAACAGGAUUAGAUACCCUGGUAGUCCACGCCCUAAACGAUGCAUACUUGGUGUGAGCCGUUCAUUCGGUUCGUGCCGGAGCUAACGCGUUAAGUAUGCCGCCUGGGGAGUACGGUCGCAAGGCUGAA
rnacentral:rRNA from 1 species